CCGGGAGGCCGUACCUCCGAGAGGCUCGGCGUUGAGCCCGGGUAGGGCCAGGUGGCUGCCCUUUCACCUAGGGUAGUCCCUGGUCGCCUCCGCUCUUCGCCUAAAAGGGGAUGCAGCUCCGGGAAAGUGAAUUAUAGUUUAAUGUACUGCAAGUCCUAAACUACGGAUGGGAACUAUUACAGUUUAUAAUGUCAAAAACUUUUCUUAGACCAAAGGUAUCUUCCACAAAGUAUAUGGGAGUCCACAUUUAUGUAAGAAAUGAAACUAUAAAAUGUAUAAAUAAUUUGCAAAUCAGAAUUGCUGUCGAAAGUUUUACUAUAAUGAAAGAUAUUUUCAUACUCUCAAAAAUAUAGAGGAAAGGGGCCAAGAUUAUAGUACCAGUCACAAUCUUUUGAUGAGGACGAAAUGAAUCAGGUAACAGACUGGGUUGACCCAUCAUUUGAUGAUUUUCUAGAGUGUAGUGGCGUCUCUACUAUUACUGCCACAUCAUUAGGUGUGAAUAACUCAAGUCAUAGAAGAAAAAAUGGGCCUUCUACAUUAGAAAGCAGCAGAUUUCCAGCGAGAAAAAGAGGAAAUCUAUCUUCCUUAGAACAGAUUUAUGGUUUAGAAAAUUCAAAAGAAUAUCUGUCUGAAAAUGAACCAUGGGUGGAUAAAUAUAAACC
rnacentral:lncRNA from 1 species